CAGCCGCCGCGGUAAUACGUAGGGUGCAAGCGUUAAUCGGAAUUACUGGGCGUAAAGCGCACGUAGGCGGCUUGGUAAGUUAGAGGUGAAAGCCUGGAGCUCAACUCCAGAAUUGCCUUUAAGACUGCCGAGCUAGCAGGUGAGAGAGGUAAGUGGAAUUCCGAGUGUAGAGGUGAAAUUCGUAGAUAUUCGGAAGAACACCAGUGGCGAAGGCGGCUUACUGGCUCAUACUGGACGCUGAGGUGCGAAAGCGUGGGGAGCAAACAGGAUUAGAUACCCCGGUAGUCCCUGUCUCUUAUAA
rnacentral:rRNA from 1 species